rnacentral:rRNA from 1 species
AUUGAACGCUGGCGGCAGGCCUAACACAUGCAAGUCGAACGAGUGGCGGACGGGUGAGUAAUGUCUGGGCAACUGCCUGAUGGAGGGGGAUAACUACUGGAAACGGUAGCUAAUACCGCAUACCAUCGGAUGUGCCCAGAUGGGAUUAGCUAGUGGGUGGGGUAACGGCUCACCUAGGCGACGAUCCCUAGGUGGUCUGAGAGGAUGACCAGCCACACGGGGAAUGAGACACGGGCCAAAAUCCGACGGGAGGCAGGAGUGGGGAAAAUUGCACAAUGGGGGCAAGCCUGAUGCAGCCAUGCCGGGUGUAUGGAGAAGGCCUUCGGGUUGUAAAGUACUUUCAGCGGGGAGGCGUUACCCGCAGAAGAAGCACCGGCUAACUCCGUGCCAGCCGCCGCGGUAAUAC